CCUAGGGUGGCUGCAGGCGCGAAAACUUUACAAUGCGGGAAACCGCGAUAAGGGGAUACCGAGUGCCAGCAUCCUAUGUUGGCUGUCCAUAUGUAUAAAUCACAUGUGUUAGCAAGGGCCGGGCAAGACCGGUACCAGCCGCCGCGGUAACACCGGCGGCCCGAGUGGUGGCCACUAUUAUUGGGUCUAAAGGGUCCGUAGCCGGUUUGGUCAGUCUUCCGGGAAAUCUGACGGCUUAACCGUUAGGCUUUCGGGGGAUACUACCAGGCUUGGGACCGGGAGAGGUAAGAGGUACUACGGGGGUAGGAGUGAAAUCUUGUAAUCCCUGUGGGACCACCAGUGGCGAAGGCGUCUUACCAGAACGGGUCCGACGGUGAGGGACGAAAGCUGGGGGCACGAACC
rnacentral:rRNA from 1 species